rnacentral:rRNA from 1 species
UACGUAGGGUGCAAGCGUUGUCCGGAAUUAUUGGGCGUAAAGAGCUCGUGGGCGGUCUGUCGCGUCUGCUGUAAAAACUCAGGGCUUAACCCUGAGCUUGCAGUGGGUACGGGCAGACUAGAGUGCGGUAGGGGAGACUGGAAUUCCUGGUGUAGCGGUGAAAUGCUCAGAUAUCGAGAGGAACACCUGCGGCGAAGGCGGGUAGCUGGGCCGACACUGACGCUGAGGCGCGAAAGCCAGGGGAGCGAACGGG